ensembl:lncRNA
ACAGAGGAAGAAAGAGGAGGUGGGGGAGAGGUGUGAGAGGGGGUCAAAGACAGAAAGGGAAAGAUGAGAACAGAGGAGCAGGGAAGAAAGAGGAGGUGGGGGGGUCAGAGGUGUGAGAGGGGGUCAAAGACAGAAAGGGAAAGAUGAGAACAGAGGAGCAGGGAAGAAAGAGGAGGUGGGGGAGAGGUGGGGGAGAGGUGUGAGAGGGGUCAAAGACAGAAAGGGAAAGAGAUGAGAACAGAGGAGCAGGGAAGAAAGAGGAGGUGGGGGAGAGGUGUGAGAGGGGUCAAAGACAGAAAGGGAAAGAGAUGAGAACAGAGGAGCAGGGAAGAAAGAGGAGGUGGGGGGAGAGGUGUGAGAGGGGUCAAAGACAGAAAGGGAAAGAGAUGAGAACAGAGGAGCAGGGAAGAAAGAGGAGGUGGGGGAGAGGUGUGAGAGGGGUCAAAGACAGAAAGGGAAAGAUGAGAACAGAGGAGCAGGGAAGAAAGAGGAGGUGGGGGGGAGGUGUGAGAGGGGGUCAAAGACAGAAAGGGAAAGAGAUGAGAACAGAGGAGCAGGGAAGAAAGAGAG